UGAUGCAGUGACACUGGAGAAAAAAAGCUUUCUUAUGCUUCAGGACAACAAUACAAACCAGAGCACAACUUAUUCUUACAGACAAAUCAUUCAUUCAUUCAGGACUCAUUCACCAUUAGGACCAUGAGGAACAAUGGAGAAGACUACUGAUGUUGAGCUCUGCCACCUAAAGGUCCUGUUGUACAGACAGAAGAUCCUUCAGGUCCAGAUGUGGGGGAAAAAGUGGGAGAGGUGGAUGGUGACGGAGAAGGACCAUCUUAACCCAUUUGAUCUUCACAAGCACCCCACUAAACGGCCCAAUAUGCCCAACAGACGGAAGCAGGCUGGCUGCCAGUAGCCCGGUUUAGAAUACGGGUCAGCCUCAGAGUGACCCAUGUGGAGGAGCAGUCACCCCAAAGAACGCUCCAGAAGGUUCCCAAAGCCUCAUAAAACUGGGCCAAGCUCCUGACUGAUGUGGCGUACCUGCUGCAGUACUUCUGUGCCAUCACAACAGUGACUACAGCUUGAAGAUGGGACACAAUGCUUUUCCUCUCACACUCUUCCCCUCUUUCUUCUUUCUCUCUUGUGCUCUCAACAACUAUGAGUCCUUUAAAGUAACUAGAGAGCAAAAGAUACAUAGAGACAGAGAGAGAAUGCUUUAG